rnacentral:rRNA from 1 species
GGCGCACGGGUGAGUAACACGUGGGUAACCUACCUCUCGGUGGGGGAUAACACACCGAAAGGUGUGCUAAUACCGCAUAACACGACAUUGUAGAUUAUGAUGUCGUCAAAGGUGGCGAAAGCUGCCGCUGAGAGAUGGGCCCGCGGACCAUUAGCUAGUUGGUAGGGUAAUGGCCUACCAAGGCCACGAUGGUUAGCUGGUCUGAGAGGAUGUCCAGCCACACUGGAACUGGAACACGGUCCAGACUCCUACGGGAGGCAGCAGUGAGGAAUUUUGCGCAAUGGGGGGAACCCUGACGCAGCAACGCCGCGUGAGUGAAGAAGGCCUUCGGGUUGUAAAGCUCUGUCAGAGCUGAAGAAACUACUUCGGGUAAAUAGCCCGUGGUACUGACGGUAAGCUCAGAGGAAGCACCGGCUAACUCCGUGCCAGCAGCCGCGGUAAUACGGAGGGUGCAAGCGUUGUUCGGAUUUAUUGGGCGUAAAGAGUGUGUAGGCGGUUUUGCAAGUCAGGUGUG